AGCGUUAGGUGCCCUCGAAGGCACGGGGGUGGAGUGUCAGCCGCAGCGUUAUCAUUUCUAGUUAGUGUUAGACACUAUUUGCUAAUUUUGUAUCAUACAGUGUUGUGCUAUCUGGCAACCCUUUUGCUCUUAAUCUAGGGCUGCAUCCUUAGCAUCUAUAGGCGAAUUUCUUCUAGCAUUGGGUGGCAUUUUUGAGUAACCAUACUUGCCGCCAGAUAUAGAUACAUUCUGUGUGUUACAACCUCAUAGAUGCGCAAUUUACGUAUAUCCAGCUACACUCACUGACAGUUUUAGGCUGGCAU